CUACGGGGUGCACCAGUGGGGAAUAUUGCACAAUGGGGGAAACCCUGAUGCAGCAACGCCGCGUGGAGGAUGACGCAUUUCGGUGUGUAAACUCCUUUUAUAUCCCAAGAUAAUGACGGUAGGAUAUGAAUAAGCACCGGCUAACUCCGUGCCAGCAGCCGCGGUAAUACGGAGGGUGCAAGCGUUACUCGGAAUCACUGGGCGUAAAGGGCGCGUAGGCGGGUUGUCAAGUCUUGAGUGAAAUCCAACGGCUCAACCGUUGAACUGCUUGAGAAACUGGCAGCCUAGAGUAAGGGAGAGGUAGAUGGAAUUGGUGGUGUAGGGGUAAAAUCCGUAGAGAUCACCAGGAAUACCCAUUGCGAAGGCGAUCUGCUGGAACUUUACUGACGCUGAGGCGCGAAAGCGUGGGGAGCAAACAGGAUUAGAUACCCCGGUAGUC
rnacentral:rRNA from 1 species